AUACGGAGGGUGCAAGCGUUACUCGGAAUCACUGGGCGUAAAGCGCGCGCAGGCGGCUAUUUAAGUUGGAUGUGAAAGCCUACGGCUCAACCGUAGAACUGCAUCCAAAACUAUUUAGCUAGAGUGUGGGAGAGGAAGAUGGAAUUAGUUGUGUAGGGGUAAAAUCCGUAGAGAUAACUAGGAAUACCAAAAGCGAAGGCAAUCUUCUGGAACACUACUGACGCUGAGGCGCGAAAGCGUGGGGAGCAAGCAGGAUUAGAAACCCUAGUAGUCC
rnacentral:rRNA from 1 species